AGCCUGAUCCAGCCAUACCGCGUGGGUGAAGAAGGCCUCUCGGGUUGUAAAGCCCUUUUGUUGGGAAAGAAAAGCAGUCGAUUAAUACUCGGUUGUUCUGACGGUACCCAAAGAAUAAGCACCGGCUAACUUCGUGCCAGCAGCCGCGGUAAUACGAAGGGUGCAAGCGUUACUCGGAAUUACUGGGCGUAAAGCGUGCGUAGGUGGUUGUUUAAGUCUGUUGUGAAAGCCCUGGGCUCAACCUGGGAAUUGCAGUGGAUACUGGGCGACUAGAGUGUGGUAGAGGGUAGUGGAAUUCCCGGUGUAGCAGUGAAAUGCGUAGAGAUCGGGAGGAACAUCCAUGGCGAAGGCAGCUACCUGGACCAACACUGACACUGAGGCACGAAAGCGUGGGGAGCAAACAGGAUUAGAUACCCUGGUAGUCCACGCCCUAAACGAUGCGAACUGGAUGUUGGGUGCAAUUUGGCACGCAGUAUCGAAGCUAACGCGUUAAGUUCGCCGCCUGGGGAGUACGGUCGCAAGACUGAAACUCAAAGGAAUUGACGGGGGCCCGCACAAGCGGUGGAGUAUGUGGUUUAAUUCGAUGCAACGCGAAGAACCUUACCUGGUCUUGACAUGUCGAGAACUUUCCAG
rnacentral:rRNA from 1 species